rnacentral:rRNA from 1 species
GUCGACGCUGGCGGCGUGCCUAAUACAUGCAAGUCGAGCGAGCGGCGGACGGGUGAGUAAUGUAUGGGGCUCUGCCCGAUAGAGGGGGAUAACUACUGGAAACUGUGGCUAAUACCGCAUACUAUCGUAUGCACCCAUAGGGGAUUAGCUAGUAGGUGGGGUAAAGGCUCACCUAGGCGACGAUCUCUAGCUGGUCUGAGAGGAUGAUCAGCAACACUGGGACUGAGACACGGCCCAGACUCCUACGGGAGGCAGCAGUGGGGAAUAUUGCACAAUGGGCGAAAGCCUGAUGCAGCCAUGCCGCGUGUAUGAAGAAGGCCUUAGGGUUGUAAAGUACUGUCAGCGGGGAGGCGUUACCCACAGAGGAAGCACCGGCUAACUCCGUGCCAGCCGCCGCGGUAAUAC